GUGGAUAUAGCUUAGAGGUAGAGCAAUUGUCUAACAGUGAGAGGCCCUGGGUUCAAUCCCUAGUGCCACA
rnacentral:tRNA from 1 species